rnacentral:rRNA from 1 species
UACAGAGGUCUCAAGCGUUGUUCGGAUUCAUUGGGCGUAAAGAGUGCGUAGGUGGCGGGGUAAGUCAGGUGUGAAAUCUCGAGGCUCAACCUCGAAACUGCACUUGAUACUGCCUUGCUAGAGUACUGGAGAGGAGAUUGGAAUUUACGGUGUAGCAGUGAAAUGCGUAGAUAUCGUAAGGAAGACCAGUGGCGAAGGCGAAUCUCUGGACAGUUACUGACACUGAGGCACGAAGGCCAGGGGAGCAAACGGG